UACGUAGGGUGCAAGCGUUAAUCGGAAUUACUGGGCGUAAAGCGUACGCAGGCGGCUUUGCAAGACAGGUGUGAAAUCCCCGGGCCUAACCUGGGAACUGCAUUUGUGACUGCAUGGCUAGAGUCUGUCAGAGGGGGGUGGAAUUCCACGUGUAGCAGUGAAAUGCGUAGAUAUGUGGAGGAACACCGAUGGCGAAGGCAGCCCCCUGGGUCAAAACUGACGCUCAUGCACGAAAGCGUGGGGAGCAAACAGG
rnacentral:rRNA from 1 species